CGACAACCAAGGAGGUCCACGUCUGCGAGCGCAGAGCAUCCAGGAGCACCUUAACUACAUCAUCUGAUUAACGGGAGGAGGAGAGUGACUGGCAUAUGAGAUCGCACGAGGACGUGCGAAUGUCAGUCUGGCCGUGACGGCGCAUCGAUUAUUUUAGAGCGGGGUAGUCGUCCCGCUCUGACGCAACACCGAGCGCUGGCGCGCGCCCGCAGUCGAGCGCAGCCUUCAUAGCGGUUACAUCGAUUUGCAUCGCGCAACUACGCUACGUGUUCGGUGGAGUGUCUGUGAUUUUCGAUUAAUUCUAAUAUCGGCAAUGUAAUAGAAGUAAUAUCUCGGUGAUUAUUAAAAUAGCUUGGACUUAAUGGUGAAA